CACAAUCAAUGGAACGCUCGCGCACAUUUUUUCGAUGACGCGAAUACUUCGUCUGCGGACAUGUUGAUCCAUGAGAAAGUCACGAUUAUUUUUCUAAUCCAUUGUCAAAGAAAAGUGUGCACAGACAGGUGAUUGGAGGCGGGCUACAGUGCAAAAGGAACCUCUCACCCAAACGUCACGUCAUUGGCGUCCACAGCCUGUUCGUAUUCUACAGUCCGAGGCGUGCGGGGACAGGCGAUUGGAGACAGGACCUCUUGCCCAGUCAUCACGUUCCUGUCGUCCACGUCGCUGCUGUUGAUUUCUGGUAGAAGUAGACUUCCUGAUCUUGUAUUCCACGGUCCCAGGAUAUGGGUCCAAAAAAGAGACCUUCACUUGUGAGCAGCCCUGCCCAAUCAGAGGCAAAGAAAAUUUCUUGUCCGAUCUUCAUGAAACUUGGCCAGAAUAUUUGUCUCAAUGAUACCUUGACUGAGUUUGAAACUGGGUCAUGCUGGGUCAAAAACUAGGUCACUAGGUCAAACAAAAGAAAACCUUGUAAACUAGGCCGAGUUCCUUUAUGGUUGCGGUCUGUUGAAAAACAUGGCUUUAAAUGGCUUUAUAGUGUAACCUUGUUUACACUCUACUAAGAAAUUACCAAUGUACACGUUGAAUGAAAUUUAUGCAUAUUAUGAUAUUCAUGUUCUCCAUGCAGUUAUCUGAAUAUGUAUUCAGCCGAUAAGAUAUACAGUUAAAUUGCCAAAAAAUUUUUUAUUUAGUUUUGUUCAUUUCAUUUAGCUUUGGGUAAAGUAUGUUUAAGCCAUGAUGUAUUACCAUGUGAAUUGCUUAUUAAUGCCUUUUAUGUUCUAUGUCUCCAAACUGUUUUUCUGUAGUAAUAAUAUGUGCAGUUCAUUGAAUACUUAUUGUUGAGGUGGCAAAUAUACUAUUCCAAAUUUGCUAAGGAUCACUUUUUUAUUGACACAUUAUCUUCAAUUUUGGAUAACUUUAAUUUUUGUUAUUUUUUCAUGUUUUUCAUGUUUUGAUAUUAGAAUGUGUUUUUGAUUUUAUUUUUAUGUAUUGAUUAUCAUUGAUGCGUGACGCUGGCUGAACCGACCAAGGGGAAAACUUCAAAUUACACAUACUAUAACAAGUGAUCCUUAGCAAAUUUCGAAUAGUAUAUUUUGUUUUAUUGUUUUGUUUUUUUUUCAUUGUUUCAGUUCUAUAUUUAAUAUAGAUCUGCUAACCAAUUGUAUACAUACUUAUAGGCUAUGACAGUCUAGUCAUACUAUUUAAUUUGUUGUUUGUUUUGUUUGUUUAUUUGAAUUGAUCUCAGGAAAUAUAUGAGUAAAAUAUUUGAAAGUGAAA